rnacentral:rRNA from 1 species
UACGAAGGGUGCUAGCGUUGUUCGGCUUUACUGGGCGUAAAGGGCGCGUAGGCGGAUUUUUAAGUCGGGGGUGAAAUCCCGGAGCUCAACUCCGGAACUGCCUUCGAUACUGAAAGUCUGGAGCACGGUAGAGGUGAGUGGAAUUCCGAGUGUAGAGGUGAAAUUCGUAGAUAUUCGGAGUAACACCAGUGGCGAAGGCGGCUCACUGGACCGUUGCUGACGCUGAGGCGCUAAAGCGUUGGGAGCAAACAGG